ACUUCAGUGCAAAGUUGUGAUUAUGUUGCAGUGUAAUGAAGCAUGUUCCAGUUUGCUGACAGCAUUAUGGUCUCUGUGAGAAUAUCCACCACAUCCUGCUUGUAUGAACUAUCAGGAAGAUGAUUUUGUCAGCGCUUCACAGAGUAGUGUAUAAAGCCCUCUCUACUGAGUAAGAUCUUGGGAGCACGUGGCAAAUAUGACUUUAUGAAGACCCUCGGAGUGCAGAAGACCCAGAACUGCUUGCGGUAUCAGAGCUUCUGUUCAUGAUGCACAGCUAUAGCAAAAAAAUUACAGACUCAUCUCUGUUUAAGAGGAAGUACCAGAUAAAUCUAUGCAUGUUUUGACAUCAAGGGGAUUAAAAUGGUGCUUAUGCAUGCUCUCCUAAUUACUGCUUUACUUCUCUGAAAAGUCACAACAAAAUAAUUUAUGCUCUCAAAAAGGUACAAAAGAGAUAAAAUGCCUUUAAAGUAGAGGUAAUAGUUACAGUGAUGGCAAAAGUAUUCUAGCCCUUAGCAAAUGUGUUUAUUGAUGUUUUUAAGAGAAAAGGAUUUUUUUCACCUGGUGUUUGUUUUCCAUGUUGUACAUUUGACCAUGUGUAUAGAGUUUGGCUGUACAUUAAUAAAAGACAUGUAAUCAAA